rnacentral:rRNA from 1 species
UACGGAGGGGGCUAGCGUUGUUCGGAAUUACUGGGCGUAAAGCGCGCGUAGGCGGACCUGCAAGUCGGGGGUGAAAGCCCGGGGCUCAACUCCGGAACUGCCUUUAAGACUGCAUCGCUUGAAUCCGGGAGAGGUGAGUGGAAUUCCGAGUGUAGAGGUGAAAUUCGUAGAUAUUCGGAAGAACACCAGUGGCGAAGGCGGCUCACUGGACCGGUAUUGACGCUGAGGUGCGAAAGCGUGGGGAGCAAACAGG